rnacentral:misc_RNA from 1 species
UCUCCGUAGGUGAACCUGCGGAGGGAUCAUUACAGAGCAUCAUGCCCUUCGGGGUAGAUCUCCCACCCUGUGUAUUAUAUACCUUUGUUGCUUUGGCAGGCCGUCAGGCUUCGGCUUGACUAUCGGCUCCGGCUGGUAAGCGCCUGCCAGAGGACCCCAAACUCUGAAUGUUAGUGUCGUCUGAGUACUAUCUAAUAGUUAAAACUUUCAACAACGGAUCUCUUGGUUCUGGCAUCGAUGAAGAACGCAGC